AGUAUUGAAAUUUGUUAUAUAAUCGACUAUAAACAAUAUAAUUAAACACUUACCUAUUUAUUAAAAUAACAUAGAAAGUGUGCUAUCGUUGACAGUAUAAUAACACAUCUGUAUAACAAUGAUAAAGUGUUAUGUAAGUACCCUGACCUACGAUAACAUAGUCGGUCUUAACACGUCAAAAAGUGUUAUGGUAUGUUUUGAUAACACAUUUUUUGUCUUAUUAAAAGCUUUUUUUCUUGUAGUGUGGUUUUCUUUCAAAAAGCAAGUUAAUUGCUAUCUUGCACUUUCGAAAAUAAUUUUCCCUCGUGGUAUCUUUCUCAUGGAGCUUUACUUCUUCAAGCUCCUCAAAUGGUUUAAGAUCGGCCCUUUCUUCAACUCUAGGGUCGAUCUCUUCUUCUAUCUAGAAGACAAAUCUGUCUAUCUCCCUAAUAACUACAAGCGUCUGUGCACUUGUUUGGCUUCUUCCUCUCAUGGAAAUGCUAUAGCAUUCCCUUGCAGCGAGCUGGUCUCCCUUCAGCGUCCCGAUGCCACUAGACGUUGGGAAAUUGACGGCCAAUGCCUAACAGACAAUAUUUCCCCCAGCCCAAUCAGGGCUGGUCUCCCGAGCAAUACGUUGUAGGCCGAUGGGGCGUCCACCACCACAAACUCCAUCAUCUUGGUUGCCGAUAUUGAAUAGUCUCCCAAGGUUACAGGGAGUACAAUGGAUCUCAUACAAGCAAUUCCUUCCCCGAAAAAUUCCUACAACAUUGUUGCACAAGCUUUCAAAUCUCGAAGCAUGAGUCCCAUCUUAUCUAGAGUGCCCUUAUAAAGGAUAUUAACAGAUGUUUCGUUAUCUAUCAGGACUUUGCACACCCUUUUGUUCGCGAGUUAAAGUGUGAUGACCAGGGGAUCGUUAUGAGGAAACUAGACAUUCGACACAUCCUCUUCUGUAAAAGUGAUGGGUUGAGUUUCAACCCUUUGUUGCUUCGAAGCUCAUGGUUCAGGCUCGUAGGGAGAAUCGUCUCCAGUCUUGAGCUCGUUUACGUGUAUUUUCUGGGCAUUUCUGCCUGAUCCGGCAAGGUACGGUCCCCCGAAGAUGGUCACCACAUCCUUCCCAUCUAUUGGGGGUGGACAAUCAUCCUCCCGUGCUCAGGAAUUGUUGUUAUGCUGGGUAGGUUGCGUAGGCGCUGCCUCUGCCUUGACAAGGCUUGAUUGGUAUUCCGGUUUCUCACAUAUUGCUGAAAUAUCCUCUAGAGAUCAAGCUUUCGAUCUCAUCUUUCAAUUGUCGGCAUUCAUCAGUGGUAUAUCUGACAUCCCUGUGGAAUCUGCAAUACUUAUUGGAGUCCCUCUUCACCUUCUGAUUCUGAAUUGGGUCAGGUCGCCUAAAUGAGACCUGAUUCUCAUUAGCGAGGAAAUUAUUUCCUGGGUCUCAUUGAGCUCGAUGUAAACCGUAUAAAUGGAGAAGUACUUGUCUCCCUUCUUCUUUUUCACCCCGUCUGCCUCGGAGUUAUUCCCUUCAUUUUUCUUUCUUUUUGAAGGGUUAUCUCCGGAGAGUUGUGAUGUCGAUGGGGUAGCCAAGGUCGAGGCUGAGUUAACAUUUGUCAUGGUAAUUAUGGGCUGAGGGGUAAGUUUUAAUGCUGACCUCGCCUCCUCUACAUUGACAAAUCUCUGGGCCCUCUUAUUGAACUUGGUUAUUGUCCUUAUAGGCUUUCUUUACAUAUCAUCCCAAAAGGGACUCCCUGGUAAUAUACCAGCUCUUACAGCCAUAAGGUGACCAUUGUCAUCGACGUUGCAGGCUCGUGCUACCUCUAUGUUAAACCUCGCGAGGUAACUUUUCAACGAUUCUCCCUGUUGUUGUCUGACAUUGGUUAAAGUCGAGACUUCAGGCCUGACACCUACCAUGGCCUUGAACUAUUUCUUAAAUUCCUUUUCUAACUAAUCCUAAGAUGAGAUCAAUUGACUUCUAAAUUUUUCAAACCAGUUUUUGUUGGUCCUAUUAGAGUGGUUGGAAACAACAUACACCGGAUCUCAUAACCAACAUUGUUGGCUCGCAUGAUGGUAUUGAAUGUGCUCAGGUGUUUGUAUGGAUCUGAGUUCCCGUCAAAUGGAGCUACAUGGGGUAUCUUGAACCCCUGAGGAAUGGUGUAUUGGAAAUAUGAGGAGAAAACGGCACGAGCUCCUCAUCGGAGUCAUCAUCUUUGUCCUUGUUCCUUUCAUCCUGAAAGAGCCUGAACACCUUUUCGAGCUGGUUUAUUCUCUCCUUGACCAAGUCCACUUGUGCUUAGGGGAGCUGGUUAUUGUUUUAAGAACUCUAGCUCCCUGUUCUGAUAUAGGGUUAUAUCGAUUCCCAUAUGUCGAUUGUUUUUUACUGUUCAAAUGGUCGAGCAAAUCAGGGUUUACAGGAUUGGCUUGACCCCAGUUCUGGUUCAGGUGAUCUCAAAGACCAGGAUGAUUUCCAUGAUUCCCAGUGUCCCUAGGUUCGAUAUUAUACACGCUUACAGACCUAGUAAGGUCUAGGCUCCCACUCAUGAAACUGACGUUUCACUCUGGUUGAUGGGCUUGGUGGUUACGAGAUGGAUCUUCCACCGGCCUUCUUGCUUCAGUUAUUUGUGAUCUUGACAUACGGCAUCCUGCCGGUUAGGCAGCCCUGUGCCCUCGAGUUGCUUCCCUCUCGCCCCCAUGUCCAGAUCUGGUUCGAUGGUUCCCAUCUUGACUGCCACUGCGAGGGGGCCUUUGUGGUGCAAGCUCCCCUGCCUGGUUCCUAUGAGGAGCUGGUCGGGGUGCCUCUCGAACUAGUGAGGGGUGUCUUAUAGGAAAUGGCAGAUGUCUUAUAGGAGAUGAGGGUGGCCUCCCAUUUUUGGGCCUGGAAGGUCAAGAAUUGUUCUGGACAGGUUCCUAGUUGUUCCUGACAGGUUCAAUGUUAGAGUUCCGAGCUGUUGGAGGAGCUCAGUUAUUCCAUGUUCCUUUAGUUACUUCCACAUUCGGGUUUCCAGUAGUAUCAGUUUGAGUAUUUCUCCUAGGGCGUUCAUCUCCAGGGUUUGCCCUGGGCCUUGGCUAAGCCUGCUGAGUCUGCUGAGCCCUUUGUUCAGCUCUCCUUGUGGUCGUACUCCCUCGGGGAUGUCCUCUGGGCCUUCGAGGUGGUGCCUAGACCUUAACGGCCUGCCUGGCCAAUUCUUCAUUGCGCCUUGUGGCCUCUGAAAAUUGUUGGUGCAGUUGGCGAUCCUCCAUUUCAACAAUGGGGAUAUACCUCUCUGUAUUAUAAUAGAGGUCCUCAUCAGGCCUGGGUGUAGGUGGUCCCUGGGAGUCAGAGGGCGCACUCCCCUCAUUUGGAUCGUGGUCUGUCAUUGGUUGCUUCCCAAGUCACCAUGGGUAAUCUUUUGGGCGAGGAUUUUUCUCCUCGAGUAUUUGGGGCAAUAGUCACCCACCAGUACCUGGGUUUUUCGCGGCGGCCAUUGGUAAUUCAAGAUGUUUCUGACUAAACAUUCCAACGAUUUGCUUAAUGCUGUCAAAGAGAGCACCAAUCUGUUGACGUCGUUUUUCUUCAACUUAAAUCUGAAGAACACUAAACAAUCAUUUAAGUAAAUAAGGAAGAACAUUUUGAUUUUUACGUGGUUCAGCAGUAAAAAUCUGCCUAGUCCACGAGUCAAUAUUAUUGAUUUGUGAUAUUCUCCCAGAGCUUUUACAAAGCAAUUUAGUAGAGUGGUCUCCGUACCAAAUUGUGCGUGUCCACAAAAGAAAUUAUCCAGGCUAUUAAUAGACCUGGUUAACAAAAUAUCUUCCCCUUAUUUCAAGAAGUUACAAUUCAAAAUUGAAAUAAAUAUAAUUAAAUGCAUUAAUAACAUCAUAUCCCAUGAUAAUUGAGAUUUAAUAUCAAAUAACAACAAAUCCCUAAGGAAUAGGGAUCUCCUAACAGUUGUCGUGUACAAAGCGCGUUGCUGAACUCGAACGCAAGGUUUACAUGUUUUUAAGAUCGACCAACACUUCGAGCUCGUUAUUAUAGUCAGCCUCAUCCUUAGCCAAGGAUUUCAUCGAGCUCAAUCUUCGGAAACCAACACCUUUGAGCUCGUACUAAGACUCGAAUUACACACAUGCCUCGGGGAAGAUUCGUUCUUUCGAGCUUGAUGCUUGUGCUCGAUCACCAAUAGGAACAAGUCAUGAAUCAUUCACAUUUAUACAAGUGUUGAGCCAUUACUAGUCAUUUUCGAGCUUACGCUUACGAGCCUACAUUUCGAGACUCAUUUAUGAUAGUGUCAAAAUUUAGGUGUAACAUAAAUUAUUAGAUUUUGGACCGUCAAAACUAAGGUUAUAUAUUCAAAUUGAUAUUUUGUUGGUUUGAUUUUGUGAAGAUUUUUUUAGGAGCUUUAGACGGGACACAUAUUGAGGUGCAUGUGAGUGAAAUUGACAAGCCAAGAUAUUGAAAUAGAAAGGGCAAGGUUACCACCAAUGUGUUAGGAGUUUGUGAUCGAAAUAUGAAUUUUAUAUUUGUUUUACUAGGUUGGAAAGGUUCAACAUCAAAUUCAAGAGAUCUUUGAGAUGCAAUAACUAGAGCACAUGGAUUAAGAGUUCCCACAGGUUCUUAUUACCUUGUGGAUGUUUUUUAUACCAAUUGUGAAGGGUUUCUUGCACCAUAAAAAGGAACAAGAUAUCAUUUGUCAGAAUGUCAAGAUGGAUGUGUACCUACAAAUGAGAAAGAAAUCUUUAAUAUGAAACAUUCUUUUGGUAGAAAUAUUAUAGAACGUUGUUUUGGUUUGCUUAAGAUUCGAUGGGCAAUAUUGAGAAGCCCACUUUUUAUCCCAUCGAAACCUAAUAAUUGAUUGUUGUCUUCUUCAUAAUUUUAUAAGGAGAGAAAUGUCAUACGAUCCUAUGGAAGGAAUACUUGAUGCACAAGAUAGCUCACAAAAUCAAACUCAUGAUGAUCUAAAUAUUAUUUCCACUAUUGAAUCAUCGGGUGCAUGAACUACUUGGAGAGAUGUUUAGGCAACAAAUAUGUUUGAUGAAUGGAGAGCAAAUAGAGGAAUGGAAAGUGGAGGCAACAUGCAAACGCUAACAAUCAAAAGAAAGGGGAUCGUCGUACUUGGACAAUUAUGGAGGAGGAAUCAUUAUUGAGCAUUUUAGAGUUAUUUGUGCUACGUGGCUAUUGUUGUGAGAAUGAAACCUUCAAUUCUGGUACAUACCCAUUAGUUGAAAAAGAACUCCAAGUCAAGUGUCCUAAUUCUAGAUUGAAAGCAAAUCCUCACAUUGAGUCAAAGAAGAAAACAUUGAAGAGACAAUAUUUUAUAGUAUUUAACAUGUUAAACACGAGUGGGCUUGGUUGGAAUGAUACUUUGAAAUGCAUUGAGGUUGAUAGUUUUGAAGUAUGGAAUGCAUAUCCACAAAGAAGCUGGUGGAUGGAGGGGUAAACAAUUUCCUAUGUAUGAAAGGUUGGCUAACAUCUUUGGAGCUGGUUGCGCAAUCGAAAAAGCUGCUAAAACUCUAACUGAUAAGGAUGAAGUAGUUGAUCUUGAAGAUGAUGAUGACCACAAUGGAAUGCAAGAAUAAUCAUCCUAAUCCCCCAUGUUUGUCAACCAAUCUAGUGCUAGUAAUCAAUCCCAAACUGGUAAAAAGAAGUGAGCAAGACCAGGUUCAAAUAUUUUUGUUGGGUUAGAAAAUCUAGCAAAAUCUUUUGAUAAAAUGAUGGAGAAAUCACAUGAGGAAAUGAACUUGCUCAAUGACUUACUAAAUAAUAGAGAUAAUAGUAAGAUACAUGACUCUGUUAGGGAAGAGAUCACCAAGUUGAA